rnacentral:rRNA from 1 species
AUUGAACGCUGGCGGCAGGCUUAACACAUGCAAGUCGAGCGGGGGAAGGUAGCUUGCUACCGGACCUAGCGGCGGACGGGUGAGUAAUGCUUAGGAAUCUGCCUAUUAGUGGGGGACAACAUCUCGAAAGGGAUGCUAAUACCGCAUACGUCCUACGGGGGAAAGCAGGGGAUCUUCGGACCUUGCGCUAAUAGAUGAGCCUAAGUCGGAUUAGCUAGUUGGUGGGGUAAAGGCCUACCAAGGCGACGAUCUGUAGCGGGUCUGAGAGGAUGAUCAGCCGCACUGAGACUGAGACACGGCCCAGACUCCUACGGGAGGCAGCAGUGGGGAAUCUUGGUCAAUGGGGGGAACCCUGAUCCAGCCAUGCCGCGUGUGUGAAGAAGGCCUUAUGGUUGUAAAGCACUUUAAGCGAGGAGGAGGCUACUCUAGUUAAUACCUAGGGAUAGUGGACGUUACUCGCAGAAUAAGCACCGGCUAACUCUGCGCCAGCCGCCGCGGUAA